CGCGUCGACAACUAGUUAACCCGGGCUAGAAACUCGGAUCUCAACCGGGAGUGAACUGGAGAGGACUAAAACCGGGGGCUGAAGGAGGUGUGGGCGCAUUCCGACGGAUCCUGAGGUUCCCAGGGUGCUGGGUGUCGGAAAGAACUUGGUCUAGUGCAGUAUUCAUCCUAGAGGUUGGUUCUCAGAGUUUGGUCCCAGCACCAUCAGCAUUGCCUGACCAUCCCCCACGUUCCUGGCCUGCUGACGUGGAGGAGGGGCAGCAGGGUCUGGCUACCUCCAGGGGUGAAGACAAAGCAGGUCCAGCCCUGGCAGCCGUCAUCAUCCUUGGAAAAUGUUCUGGAGUUUUUCCUUUUGUGUUUGCUGCUAAGUAUCUAGGCGGAGUGAAUAGAACCAAUUAACCUGACAGCAGAAGAGCAAAACUCAUGCAACUGAUACAAGAAAGUGACUACAGUUUAUAGAUAUAUGUGGCCAUUUGUUUUAUGGUUUAUGAAGAGAAAAAUAUUGAACACAGAGCACAUGUUUAUUUACUCUCAUUUUUGCUGUGACUUGUAAAGUGGCCCAG